UGAGGCCGGUGAAGAGCAGCACCACCAUGGAGAGGAAGGAGAAGACGACGCACACGCAGCCGGCGGUUGGACCUCCCCCCUCCCAGUGAAGAGAGAACCACAGCAAGGAAGGGGAAGAGGAAUGUUUCCACUUCUCCGUCUUAUCUGCAGAAGUCAGUAAGAGGCUCCAGAGAAGGUUUGUGGAAAGGACAAAUGAGUGGAGAAUCAGCUGAAGGAAAAAGCCAGAAAGGAACCGAUAAGCUACCAAAGCAGCAAUGGUCUUAAACAGCUAGUAGCAUCUCUCUAUAAAGAAGAACUUUCUUCCAUCACUGGGAAAUGAGCCUCCACGCCUCC